CCUACGGGGGGCAGCAGUGAGGAAUAUUGGUCAAUGGACGAGAGUCUGAACCAGCCAAGUAGCGUGAAGGAUGACUGCCCUAUGGGUUGUAAACUUCUUUUAUAUGGGAAUAAAAUGUUCCACGUGUGGGAUUUUGUAUGUACCAUAUGAAUAAGGAUCGGCUAACUCCGUGCCAGCAGCCGCGGUAAUACGGAGGAUCCGAGCGUUAUCCGGAUGUAUUGGGUGUAAAGGGAGCGUAGGUGGAUUGUUAAGUCAGUUGUGAAAGUUUGCGGCUCAACCGUAAAAUUGCAGUUGAAACUGGCAGGCGUGAGGACAGUAGAGGUGGGCGGAAUUCGUGGUGUAGCGGGGAAAUGCUUAGGU
rnacentral:rRNA from 1 species